UCCGGCUUGUCACCGGCAGUUUCUCCAAAGUGCCCAGCAUUACCUGAUGGCAACUGGAGACGAGGGUUGCGCUCGUUGCGGGACUUAACCCAACAUCUCACGACACGAGCUGACGACAGCCAUGCAGCACCUGUGCGGAGUCCGGCCGAACCGAAAGGACCAUCUCUGGUCCCGUUAACUCCCAUGUCAAGGGCUGGUAAGGUUCUGCGCGUUGCGUCGAAUUGAACCACAUGCUCCACCGCUUGUGCGGGCCCCCGUCAAUUCCUUUGAGUUUCAGUCUUGCGACCGUACUCCCCAGGCGGCGAACUUAACGCGUUAGCUUCGACACUGAUCUCCGAGUUGAGACCAACGUCCAGUUCGCAUCGUUUAGGGCGUGGACUAC
rnacentral:misc_RNA from 1 species